CAACAAGGCAUGGGAGGGCCGCCCCAUGCAGGCGGGAUACAGCAGCCAGGCUAUGGAGGGCCACCCCAUGCAGGUGGGAUGCAGCAGCCAGGCUAUGGAGGGCCACCCGAUGCAGGCGGGAUGCAGCAGCCGGGCAUGAUAGGGCCACCUCAUGCAGGCGGGAUGCAGCAGCCGGGCAUGAUAGGGCCACCUCAUGCAGGCGGGAUGCAGCAGCCGGGCAUGAUUGGGCCACCUCAUGCAGGCGGGUUGCAGCAGCCGGACAUGGAAGGGCCACGCCGUGGUGGUGGGAUGCAGCAGCCAAACAUGUCACCCAACAUGGGAAGUGUACCACCAAACAUGGGUGGAGUGCCGUCUCCAGAUAACUACGGAGGGCUAAACAAUGCGCCUAAUUUCCAAUACAAUGGUGGACCAAACAAUGGAGGCAUGCCUUAUCAAACAGGUCCAGGGCCAAACCAGAGAUAUGCUCCUAAUACGUCUAAUGGGGACUACCAGAAUCAAAACAUGCCUGGAAGAGAGAUGCCUCCUAAUUAUCAAUAAGCAGCUGUAGAUACAUGUUAGUUGUCAAUGCUAGAUGGUUUUAUUUCACGAAGUAGUAAUGUCUUAAUUGUGUUUUG
rnacentral:lncRNA from 1 species